UACGAAGGGUGCAAGCGUUACUCGGAAUUACUGGGCGUAAAGCGUGCGUAGGUGGUGGUUUAAGUCCGUUGUGAAAGCCCUGGGCUCAACCUGGGAAUUGCAGUGGAUACUGGGUCACUAGAGUGUGGUAGAGGGUAGCGGAAUUCCCGGUGUAGCAGUGAAAUACGUAGAGAUCGGGAGGAACAUCUGUGGCGAAGGCGGCUACCUGGACCAACACUGACACUGAGGCACGAAAGCGUGGGGAGCAAACAGG
rnacentral:rRNA from 1 species